rnacentral:rRNA from 1 species
GAUGAACGCUGGCGGCGUGCUUAACACAUGCAAGUCGAACGGAAAGGCCCAAGCUUGCUUGGGUACUCGAGUGGCGAACGGGUGAGUAACACGUGGGUGAUCUGCCCUGCACUUCGGGAUAAGCCUGGGAAACUGGGUCUAAUACCGGAUAGGACCACUUCUUGGAUGUUGUGGUGGAAAGUUUUUUCGGUGUGGGAUGAGCUCGCGGCCUAUCAGCUUGUUGGUGGGGUAAUGGCCUACCAAGGCGUCGACGGGUAGCCGGCCUGAGAGGGUGUACGGCCACAUUGGGACUGGGAUUCGGCCCAGACUCCUACGGGAGGGAGCAGUGGGGAAUAUUGCACAAUGGGCGCGAGCCUGAUGCAGCGACGCCGCGUGGGGGAUGACGGCCUUCGGGUUGUAAACUCCUUUCGCUAGGGACGAAGCGUUUUGUGACGGUACCUGGAGAAGAAGCACCGGCUAACUACGUG